UUUGUGUUCUACCCUUUUAUUUUAUAAUAUUUACAUAAUUAAACCAAGGUCAUUUAAUUAAAUAACAAAAGUUUAGAGUAAAUUUUGUAAUUAAAUCAUAAUAAAAUUAAAAAAUUGGAAAUUAUUAUUUAUUACAUUUAACAAAAUUUCCUAAAAUAUCUCCCUAAUAAACUGAAAAUUUCUUAAAUAUCUUUAAAUGAUCUUAGUUGUUUUUAAAAUUUAUAUUCUUACAUAUAACAUAUGUAUCAUAAUAAUACAAAUUUUUUUCCGCAGAU
rnacentral:lncRNA from 1 species